UUGGUUUACCUUUGCUCUUUGGUUCAGAGUUUAUUCCUUCAUGGAUCCAAGAUAUUAUUCUCCUUUGAUUUCAAAUUGUUUGUUCCUGGCAAGUGAUAUAUUUUUCCUUUUGCCAACCAAUACUUCCCUUUGGAUCCCAUAUUCACCCUUUUAGGAUGACCUAAUGAAUAGUCCACCUUAUGAAUCAAGAGUUGUUUGGCUUAUUGCCAGACAUUUAAUUCUCUUUGUUUCCAAUCAUUCC
rnacentral:lncRNA from 1 species